rnacentral:rRNA from 1 species
AUUGAACGCUAGCGGGAUGCCUUACACAUGCAAGUCGAACGAGUGGCGGACGGGUGAGUAAUAUAUCGGAACGUGCCCAGUAGCGGGGGAUAAGUACGCGUAAGAGUGGCUCAUACCGCCUACUGCUGGCGCGGCCGGUAUCGGAUUAGCUAGUUGGUGGGGUAAAGGCUCACCAAGGCAACGAUCCGUAGCUGGUUUGAGAGGACGACCAGCCACACUGGGACUGAGACACGGCCCAGACUCCUACGGGAGGCAGCAGUGGGGAAUUUUGGACAAUGGGGGAAACCCUGAUCCAGCCAUCCCGCGUGUAUGAGAAGGCCUUCGGGUUGUAAAGCACUUUUGGCAGGGAAGCGGUAUCUGCAGAAUAAGCACCGGCUAACUACGUGCCAGCAGCCGCGGUAAUUC